rnacentral:lncRNA from 1 species
AUUUUAUCAUUAGAAUUAUAAAUUUGUAGUUUAGAUUCAAACCUAAUUAUUUUUCUUUCUCUUUCUUUUUUUAGGCUAUCUCCUAAGGAACAUGAGCAGGCUCAACAGCUACAACACCAGACCUAUCUGUUCAGAUAAAGCUGGUCUUAGGGAGGAGGUAGGUGGCUCUGUGAAGAUUGUAUGUCAAGAGAUGUCUGGGCUCUUAAAGCAACAUUUGAUCAUUGCAAAUAUGCAUUGAAAAGAAUUGAGUCCACAAAUGCUUUCUUGAA